ACAAAAACAAAUACUACUAUACUACAAAUUUCACAGGAGACUCUCGUCUUCGACUCUGUUCACCCUCUAUCUCUCUCCCCUCUUUUUCUUCCUUCCGUCCCAUCUUAACAACAUAAUCUUCCAUUCGCCAUUUCUAAACCUCUCUUGUUUGCUUAAGUAGUUGGGAAUGGCUGGGACUGCAAGUGAAGAGUCUGGAGUUGGAAGGUCGUUGGAGGGAAUAUCAAGUGCGCAGCAGCGUUGCCAAUCAAGUGAAGCAUUGGCUGAGUGGCGAUCUUUUGAGCAUGUGGAAAAUGGAUCACCAUCGACUUCACCUCCAUACUGGGAUACUGAUGAUGAGGAUGACUGUGGGCCAAAACCUUCUGACUUGUAUGGGAGGUAUACAUGGAAGAUAGAUAAAUUUUCCCAAAUUAACAAGAGGGAACUACGUAGUAAUGCAUUUGAGGUUGGCGGCUACAAAUGGUCUCGUCUUCGACUCUUCACCCUCUAUCUCUCUCCAUCUUUUUUCUGAAACUGUUGUUGCAAGUAGUGGCACCAAAGCUGGGAGCUGUAUUAAUAGUAGGCGCGGUCACUGAAGUCGAACCGAACGAGAUACAUCAAUCAUCUGAUAAGAAGGCAAAGGUAGAACGGCGAGAGCUUGGUAGCUUGACAUACAAUACAAUACAAAGAGGCGAAGAAACAAUUGAAAGAGGUAAGCUUAAUUACCUAACUCAUAUUCACACAGUUUGGUUAGUAAAGUUUGGAUCUUUUUCUUUUGUGGAUCUCAGAUAAGAAGAGUGGCCCAACUGAGAAUACAUCCAGUCAAGCUCCGUAGAUACUCAAUCCGAUCCGGGCCAAGUAGAGCAAGUGCUGCUCCAGGAACUGGGAUGCCGACAAAUCCGUUUAAUUUCUCAGUUGUGGCUGGGUUACUCAAUGAUCCAAGUGUCAAGGAAUUGGCUGAACAAAUAGCCCAAGAUCCUUCAUUCAACCAGAUAGCUGAGCAGCUUAAAAAGUCAUUUGAGGGUGCUAGAGCUGGUGAUGGAAUCCCGCAGGUUGAUCCCCAGCAGUACUUUUCCAGUGUGCAACAAGUUAUGCAGAACCCUCAAUUAAUGACCAUGGCUGAACGACUUGGGAGUGCUUUGAUGCAGGAUCCAUCUAUGUCGCAAAUACUCGAGAGCCUAAAUAAUCCAGCACAGCAAGACCAGCUUCAAGAACGAAUGUGACGUGCCUAUUUUCGACGAAAUAAAAACUGGAGUUCCAGCUGGAAUGAUGAGGGCAAUUGAAUUAGGGGGAGAAUUGGUCUCUCAAGAAUUACAAUCUGGGGAAUAACAGGAAUCUCGGGAAAUGACUGUUUGCAGAAUGUUUAAGGAAUUUAAGAGAAGCGUAUGGGUACCCCUCUGUUCUUGGUCAUAAAAACAUGUGUUAUAGAGAGUGUGUGAUUGAACUUUAAGUAAGAAGUGAGGAACAGAAAGACUUUGUUAAGCUCUUGACUUGAUUUCAAUUGCUUCUGACAAAUCCAAGGUUGUUGGGGGCACAGUUUCCUGCACCCUGAUGCUGCCACUAAUGAAUCUAUAGGCAACUAAAUUUGUUCUAGACUUCCCGUCAUUUUUAAAGACGGAGGCCUCAACAUUCACCUUGCUUACUUGCAGUGGAGGUUUGGUUUAUAGCUCAUUUUUAUCACAUUAUCACCACUCCGAGAGAAUGGAUCCCCAAAGAUGGUGUGAUAGCAGUUUAUUAAUCAUUAACCCAUUGAUCGAGGGAUAGUUUUGCUGACAUUGCUAUAAGAUCCAGAAAGGGCUAUUCAUGUUGUUGACCAGUAAAUCAUCGAUACAGCAAAAGGCACUACCUCUCCAUACUCUUUGAUAAAUGGUCCAGCCAUGUGUCAAAUGCAGUAGCAACAUUCCUCAUAUAUUGCAGAACUGGUUGAUGUAAACACCGAUUUAUAAAGGAGCACUCAACUAGGCCAAAUAAAAUCUGGUCAAAUGAUGAUUGCGCUAUUAAAUAUUUUGUUGUAAUAUUCGUUUGUUAUUUAUACUACCUUCAUAUUUGAAAGAGUUAUUUUCAGUUUA